CUGGUCACGCUUCUCUUGAUGCAACCCAGGAUGCAGUUGGCCUUCUCAGCUGCAAACUCGUGCUGCCGGCUCAUGUUGGCUCUUUCAUCAAUCGACAUUCCCAAAUCCUUCUCCUCAGGGCUGCUCUCAAGCCAUUCUCUGUCCAACCUGUAUUUGUGUGCUUGGUAUUGCUCUGAGCCAGAUGCAGGACCUUGCGCUUGGCCUUGUUGACCUUCACGAGGUUGGCAUGGGUCCACCUCUCCAGCCUGUCCAGGUCACUCUGGAUGGCUGCCCUUCCAGCAUGUCAACUGCACCACUCAGCUUGGUGUCAUCUGCAAGCUUGCUGAGGGUGCAUUAAUACUGAAUAUUGCAGAGUUCAGGUGGUUAGAAGUAGGAGAGCAAGAACUGCUCUACUGUUUGUUAUACUUGGUCAGAUUUUAAUGUAAUAACUUCCAGGUUUAGUGGGAAAUGAAGGAUUUUACCAUGUAUCAUGCAUGACUGCUGUGAAUCCAGUCCCUAUUGAGUAUUUUUUCCUAUCCAUCUCAUUCUACUUUUCUUUAAUGUAAUAAAUGUUAAAUAGGGGAACAUGUGAAACUGUAUGAAGUUGUGAUGUCUUUCAGUCGUGCUUAAUUCUUCUUGGGUUUCUGGCCUCAUACUAGGGCUAGUCUUACUGUCCCUCAGGGAUGCCCAAAAAUAAUGGGAGCUAGAGUGGAAGCAUGUUCUCAGGGUUAAUUCAGGUCAUCUCUCUGGAGCCAAUUCCUUAUGCAUAUAAAUAUUGUUAAGUAACACAGGCAUAUAUAUUUCAUUAAGUAAAAGUUGCUCACGUGUAUGGGUAAAGCUGGUUGGCAUUGAAGCAGUCGAAGGAAAUUUAUUCGGAAUGAAACGUUCCAUAACAAUUUAAGAGGAACCACUGAUCUUUCUGUAGAUGCAUGAGAACAUCAGACAUGUUCUGCCAUUGUCCAAAACCCUUGGGCCAAAUCCUCCAUGUUAAUUAAAUGUAUCUGGAUGAAGUUAUACAUUCAGAGUAUUGCUUUACACUACUGAGUAAGUUUUACCAAUGCAGUAAUUGAAAUGUGCUUUGUUGCCUAGGAUUUCUGCUACAAAAUCCGUCCUACUGAAACCUGACCUAACACAGAGAAAAACUACCAACCCAGAUGAUUGCUUGGCUGUAGGAUCUGCAGCGUACCUGUAGCAGCAAUUACAGCAAAGGCACUGCUUGCAGUUUUGAUGGCACUCGCUUGUGUUACCAUCCAACUGUCACACAAAUCUCUGCCACGUGGAGCAGGAUUGGGAAACAGACCACAAGGAACAUGAGCCUGGAAAGGUCCAACGAAGCUGGUGGUCCUCGUGUUCCUCAGGAGUGUAAACCAUUGUGGCUAAAAUGGUAAGUGAAUUAUUCUACUUCUUAUACAAGUGAAGGACUGAAGAGUAGCAAUACACUAAAUAACACUACAGUAUAAAUAACACUAAAGUGAGGAAUUGUUUGUAUCAUUUGAUCAUUCUGAUUCUCUAAGGAAUUCUCUAAGCAUUCUAAGAUCAGUCUCAGAAAACUUCACAAUUCUGUACGUUGAAACUUUCUGCAGAGACCUGGUGAAUGUUGAAAGUGGGACUGAAAUCAUUCAGCAUACAUCAUUCCACCACAUUUCCCUGGAUUUGUUUUUCUAAUACUCCAUUAAUAAGAUGUGAAUAUAUAUUUUCAUUGAUUCCAUUUUCUUUCUAAUGUAUCAUUUCAUUAUAACAAUGAAAAGUUUUUAGUUCUUAUUUUCAUUUAAGGACUGUUUUGAUUCGUUGCAGCACGUUCCCUUGAAGUGUCCUCCCACUGGACAGAGAGGGUAGGACUUCAAAGGAGAUAUUUAUUUUAAAUCCACACUACCUGCUUGUUGGGAACCUGUUAGUCAGACAGGUUAAGUAGCCUUACCCGAGGUCAGUUUUUAGAUGGGAGCUUACCCAGGCACUUGGAAGUGCAACGGAUUUGAGGUUUUUGUACACAAGUCCUGUCUGUCUUCUAUAUAAACGAUGCCUUCUUUGGGUAUGGAAAGAUCCCACUGCUUAGGGCCCCACAGCAUCAGUGAGACAUAAAACUGGCAUUUUAAAUGUGUGUCAUCUUUGGUUUGUUUCCAAGGGGAAGAGUGGUCAGACCAAAAUCCAAUUAAAACUGAAUUCCUGGGCAGUUUUAGUGAGGUGAAUUCUUCAGAUUGCAGCCUCAUUUGCUAGAGCACGUUGCGUGUUAUCACUGAUUUGGUUCAGCUCAUAUUCGUGUGUGUUUUAAUGAUGAGCAAGUAUAUACCUGUUCUCUGUUACAAAGUUAUUUGUGAUGUUAUGCAUGUGCUUUAGGUGUUUGAAUGGAAGCUUAACCAAGUUGCAGCCUAGGAAGAAAUUAGCUGGAUGUGGGAAUUCAAAGCUGCAGCUGAUGGUAAUUUGCCCUCACAACAGCUGAUGUAAUUUGGAGCUGUCCUUAAACCAGCCCCAUCCCUGCAGAUGCUGUGGCACAGCAUCCUGCUGGCUGGCUGAAGGAAGUUUUAAACACUGUUUUAUGACAGAUCUGAAUCAGGGUGCUGCAUAUCAGCAUGGUUAUUGGGAUGCUUACUAUAAAAAAACGUUGGUUUGAUUUUUCAAGAUGAUACUGGAGGGGGAAAAAAUAGAAAAAUUGGCUCAGCUGAAGUCGGUCCACACAAACUCAUGGGACGUUAGAAACAGGUCCAGAACAGGAAGUGCCUGGAUCACAAAAGAAUAUAAAAGGUUUAAAAAGUGACUGGCAAGAAAAUGUUAAUUGUUGCAGAGGACAAAGGAGAGAGGUCCUGGAGAAGAUUCUAUAAAGCAAACCUGUCCCAGUUACCGUUAAAAGAUGGUAAUCUCUCUGUAACGCUGUUUUAGCACUUCUUUUCCUCCAUGUUCUGCAUUUGUAUUAUCAAAUUAAGGAGUGAUUUUCUUACCUCACCACAGGGCCUGAACAGAAGUACAGUGGGCAUUCAAACCAAGAGAAACCUGCUAGGUAACCAUGCCCAAUGCCCGCCAUGCUGUAGCAAUGGCUUAAUCUGAAAGCAAAGGCAGAGUUUUAUCCUUACAGAGACCAACCAUGAUGCUUGAAAUCUGGGGGUUGCGUUUUAGCCUAAUGAGGGACGGAAAUCCAACUAUCCCUGCAAUUCUAACUCCAUGUUUUUUAAUUGCUAGCUGAGACUAAAUGCUAUUCCUGUUUGAACCCACUACGAUUUGUUCCAUCGCAGUGAUGUUCCCAGUCUAUGAUAUGCUGUGAUAUCUUCUGAGUAAGAUUAAGCAGGUCACAGUGGACAGAGAAAAUGCAGCUAGUACAUACAACCAUUAUCAGUGCUAUUGCAGAAAUUCAGAAGCAGAAUAACUGCUUCUCUUUAAUGUACUGAAUGGUUUUCUUCCUAAGUUUGCGAUACAAAAUCAUCUCAUGAAAACUAAGUCUGUAAAUUAACUUACUGAAUAUCUGCAAAGUACGCCUACUUGCUGACAAUCUUCAUACAAGAAUAACAAAAUAUUCUUCUAAGAGCUAAACCAAAGCGUGUUUUGCAGUGUAUGUCCAAAACUGGAGAGCUGUGUUUUCCUCUCCCUUGUUAAUUGACUUGCUCGGGGUAUCUGGAACUCCCUUCCUGUUUCCCUCCAAGACCUUUAGUCACUUCCUUUCUCUAAAUA